GGUUGACCUCGGAUCAGGUAGGAAUACCCGCUGAACUUAAGCAUAUCAAGGCGGGGGAAGAAA
rnacentral:rRNA from 1 species